GAUAGUAAAGGAGGCCAGAGCAAGAAAGGAGUGGAGGAGGGGUGUCUGGUAGACAGAGAGAAGGAAAAGGGGAGAGAGGAAGAGAGAGAGGGGGGAGGAGAGACAAGCCAAGUGUGCACAGUAUUCAUUCAAACUGACAGAGCCUGCGUGUGUGUGUCUGUGAGUGUGUGUGUCUGUCCUGGUUUGUACUUCCUAUUGCUGCUCAGUCUCUUAGCAGACAGCCUCCAGUUUAAAUCAGCGGGAGGACAACAGAGCAGAGCAAAGGAAAGGACAGAGAGUGUUAAACGACAAAGGAGGACGAAGAGGAGGAGAAGGAUGAAGAGCAGAAAGGACAGAGGAAGACAGGGUGGAAGUCCAUCAGAGUCAAAAGGAGAAUGAGGACAGAGGUGCUGCUGCUCCAGCAGAGGCUGAUGCAGAAGCAAGAUGUCCAGCCACCUGGUCCAGCAGUUCAGCUUCCUCUGUGAGAGGAAUCCUGUGCUGUGAUGAGCCAUCCAAAAGGCCAAGACCAGGUUCCUCCUGCGUGGCUCUCAUCAUGGCCGUCUCACCCUCACUGUGCUGGGUGACGGCUGAUAGUUUGCUGUCAGACUCACUUGUUCAAGUUGUGGGGAACAUUCAACGCUGUCGGUGAGUUUGUAGCUCUGGAAAAAACCAUCGACUGUUGAGUGUACCCUAACUCCUGAGUUCCCGUCGGUUUGUGUGCUGCAUCGCAGCAUCAUCUGCAACUCAAGAGCAGGCAGAGGCUUCAACCUUUGCUUCCGAAACACAGGUCCAAGGUCUAAAAUUAGCAGUGGAAUUCCAUGCAUGGUAUUUGUUGACAUGCCUAGUUAAAAUAUUUCUUCAUGCUCCUAGCUUCUAGCUCUUUUUUGCAUGUGUUUUUGUGUGCUUACUUCUAUAUUAGUCAUUAUUGUCCUCAAGUCAGAUAAGAGAUGAUUUGAGGUCAUUUCUUUCUGUUUUUAUGGUCUAUGCUGUUUUUUUUAUGUUUGUAAAGCCUCCACAUCGACCGUUAAGGAAAACCUGGCUGGGGGUUUAAUGUUCUCCACAGUCUCCUGCACUUCGAGCAUUCAAUGCACAUAGCUGUGAUUCUGCUUGAUGUGUUACCUUUUAUUUAAAAUUCUGUUUAUUUGAAUAAUUUAGUAUUUUUUAUUUUUAUUUUAUUUUCCUAAUCAAUUACUACAAUUACUUCAAUUCAAUAUAUUACUGAUAAAUUUGGUAUAAUUCAGUUCAGUUUUAUCUUUUCAUUUGUCACUUCUUUUCAUCGUUCUUUCCAAGACAGAAAGAUUCAAUUCAUAUCUGAUUGUAGAUAACAGAACUGAGUCCAAAUCCAUUACACACACACACACACACACACACACACACACACACACACACACACACACGCAUCAUGUGUAAACUCUUACAACUUCAACCUCAACAUCUUUAUGUGAAAUUAUUUUAUUGCUUCACUUGUCAAACACUUUCUGCUAUUACUUAAAUGGAAGUCAAAGUAUGUUUUUCUUUGUUUCUUUGGUAACAGUUUUUUGGAGGUUGAUGUCUUUUGCUGGUAUUUGUUAUUACAAAGGAUAACCGGCCAUGUUGAUCCUGUAGGCUGUAAGUGGUGUCCUGAUUUACGCCUGAAGGUAGGUUAUAUUUUCACUUUGCCUAACAAUGCACUAAGCCUUCUGCUACUUUACAAACCUUUCACACUGCAGGAUUCCAGUUCACAUUCAUCGCUGUCGGUGGGUUAAUGAUGCCGUCAACUCGCUGGUGGAUGAAUGUCAACUGUGUCCAUGCAAGGCGCAUAUCCCUAAUCAAGAGUUUACAUGUGCAACAUCAAAUGAUUGUAUUUCUAGGCCACUGACUAAAUAAAGACUUUGGACUGUUGA